rfam:Noviherbaspirillum sp. Root189 contig_2, whole genome shotgun sequence.
UUGAGCCGUGUGCGGUGAAAGUCGCACGCACGGUUCUUAGGGGGGAGGGGUUCCGGUAACGGACCCUUCCUACCCUAC